UACCCGCAGCACAAGUGGUGGUCAUUAUUAUUGGGCCUAAAGCGUCCGUAGCUGGCCUGUUAGAUGCCUGGGUAAAUCGAUGCGCUCAACGUAUCGAACUCCGGGUAGACCGGCAGGCUCGAGACCGGGAGAGGUGUAGGCUACUCGCGGGGUAGGGGUAAAAUGCGCAGAUAUCGGGAAGAACACCCGUGGCGAAGGCGGUUCUCUGGGACGGUACUGACGCUGAGACGCGAAAGCGUGGGGAGCGAACAGG
rnacentral:rRNA from 1 species